GCGAGCCGUCCUUCCUCUCUCGCUCGUUCGUUCGUUCGCACGCAGGAGGCGUGGAACGAGCCAGUGACGUCAUCUCCGGCACCUCUCGGAGGUAAUCGGCACGUUUGUCGAAGCGUUGGAGUCACAAUCGAGUGCCGUGACUCGAUAGCUGCCGGAACCUGCUGCCUCCCCGGUCCCGGUUGGGUUGAGAUUU